rnacentral:rRNA from 1 species
CCCUACGGGAGGCAGCAGUGAGGAAUAUUGGUCAAUGGGCUUACGCCUGAACCAGCCAAGUCGCGUGAGGGAAGACUGCCCUAUGGGUUGUAAACCUCUUUUGUCAGGGAGCAACGCCGGCUACGUGUAGCCGGACUGAGAGUACCUGAAGAAAAAGCAUCGGCUAACUACGUGCCAGCAGCCGCGGUAAUACGUAGGUGGCGAGCGUUAUCCGGAAUGAUUGGGCGUAAAGGGUGCGUAGGCGGCCUGCUAAGUCUGGAGUGAAAGGUACCGGCUCAACCGGUACAGGCUCUGGAAACUGGCGG